rnacentral:rRNA from 1 species
GCCUUGGGAUAGGCUUGCGUCUUGAUUAGUUAGUUGGUGUGGUAACGGCACACCAAGGCUACGAUCAGUAACUGGUCUGAGAGGAUGAUCAGUCACACUGGAACUGAGACACGGUCCAGACUCCUACGGGAGGCAGCAGUGAGGAAUAUUGGGCAAUGCUCGAAAGAGUGACCCAGCAACGCCGCGUGGAGGAUGAAGGUAUUCUAUAUCGUAAACUCCUGUGAGAGCAGACGAAAGACAGAUUAUUAAUCUGGAUGACUGUAUGCUCAGAGGAAGCCCCGGCUAACUACGUG